rnacentral:rRNA from 1 species
UACGUAGGGGGCAAGCGUUGUCCGGAUUCAUUGGGCGUAAAGAGCGUGUAGGCGGCCAGGUAGGUCGGUUGUGAGAACUGGAGGCUCAACCUUCAGAGGUCGACCGAAACCAUCUGGCUAGAGUCCGGGAGAGGAGAGUGGAAUUCCUGGUGUAGCGGUGAAAUGCGCAGAUAUCAGGAAGAACACCCGUGGCGAAAGCGGCUCUCUGGAACGGUACUGACGCUGAGACGCGAAGGCGUGGGGAGCGAACAGG